rnacentral:lncRNA from 1 species
AUACGAUACAGUUAUAGGGGAGGUAAUGACGUUGCUAACGUAAAAUGUUAUUUUCGCGACGUCAAACUAUGACAUAUCGGGAAAAGAUGCAUUUUUCGACUAAUUUUUAUGGUUCAAACUGAUUUAAUUUGAAAACGAGUGCAUGGACCCUUAUUUUUUAAAACGACAUUUUGUUUCAUUUUGCAGGGAGAUUAUGUGGACCAAAUUUUAUAAAACUGUAAAUAGAGGAUUUUUUUUUAAUUUUGAUAAAUA